rnacentral:rRNA from 1 species
CAUGCUAGACGAGUUUGAUCCUGCCUCAGAACGAACGCUGGCGGCAUGCCUAACACAUGCAAGUCGAACGAAGGCUUCGGCCUUAGUGGCGCACGGGUGCGUAACGCGUGGGAACCUGCCCCUCGGUUCGGAAUAACAGUUAGGAAAUGACUGCUAAUACCGGAUGAUGACUUCGGUCCAAAGAUUUAUCGCCGAGGGAUGGCCCGCGUAGGAUUAGCUAGUUGGUGGGGUAAAGGCCUACCAAGGCGACGAUCCUUAGCUGGUCUGAGAGGAUGAUCAGCCACACUGGGACUGAGACACGGCCCAGACUCCUACGGGAGGCAGCAGUGGGGAAUAUUGGACAAUGGGCGAAAGCCUGAUCCAGCAAUGCCGCGUGAGUGAUGAAGGCCUUAGGGUUGUAAAGCUCUUUCAGAUGGGAAGAUAAUGACGGUACCAUCAGAAGAAGCCCCGGCUAACUCCGUG